rnacentral:lncRNA from 1 species
CGAUUGCAGUCGGCAAUGGCGUCAUUUGGUCGCCUCGACGAUGGAGAAAUGGUGCACGGCCUCGGCAGGGAGGCCAGCGUCCAACGCCGCCACCGCGGAGGCGCGCCGGCGGAGCAGGAGGUUGGUGGUGAUCACUCGCUGCUCCUAAAUGUUGUCGCCAUCGCUCGUAGGGCUUGCUUGUCGGUUGGCUGACCGUUCGUUUGGUUGAUUGGUAGUACAACUUUACUGAGGGGAGCGGCCGAUGAUGGAUGGAUCGACGGCGACGCCGCAACGAAUCAACGCUCGAUGGAUCGAUCAGUCCAUCAGAUCGGAGUAGACGAUCGAUCAGUUCAGUUCACCGGCCGGCCUACGCGAUGAUCUCCAGUUUGUCUGAUCGGUCGACCGGACAUGAAGGAAGAGAAGGGAAGAGAAAAAAAGGGGGUGAGAAGCGGUGGCGGAGAGAGGAGAUGAAGGA